GAUGAAGUCUGGACUGUAAAAAAGGAUCAAAGAAUUCUUAUCCUGAAUGUAUUUAAUUGAAGUCUACUGGCUGGAAAACCAGUACCCCAAUGGAACAGAGUAAGUACAAUAAACCCUAUAAAUGUUAAAUGAAAGAAUAAAUCACCAAACCCAGAAAUUUCCUGAGGAUGUCUUGCACAUAUUCUAGAGCUGUGCAUUAUUAUUGAAUUAUAUCCAAGCCUGAUCAGAUGUACUUAUUAAAAAGUAUGAAAAUAUCUUUAUGUUUCUUACAAGACCAUUAUAGAAACAGAAGAGAAACUAUGUAUAUAAUAAAAAAUAAUUUUAUCUUAUUUUAUUGUGUUUUAUUUUUAGUCAGCCAGGCUAAUUUGCAGAUCCCAGCAAAGAUAUUUUCAAGAUAUUUUUGCAACACUAUUACAAAACAGGAUUCGAUCAGAAUAUUCUAGAAAUUGCAUUCAUAAAUACAUUUGGUAUAUAAUUAAAAAGUUAAGGAUGCAGUAAAUAAGAGGAUAUUGAUGAUAUGGCAAUGUAGAUGAUAUAUGCUCUGACAAUGGUAAUAAGAUAAAAAUAAUGGGAAUGAAGGUGUAUUAGACCUCGACGUGAACCAAAGUAACUGGUUGUUUAUUUUCAAUAGGUUGGUCAUUAUUUAUAGCUGAUGUAGUCCCUGAAUAUUAAUAGGAGCUCAUCUAACAAUGUAGUGGAAACUAUAAAAACAAAUAUAAUUUCACCAGAUACCAACCAGUAGAGGACAGGAUCUUUUAUCACUUUUUAAUAAUAGGAAUUUUUGAUACUACCUAAAAAUUAGCCAAUGAGGAGUAUUUGUAUUAUAUCAUACAUACAUAAAUAGAUGUUUGUUUAAAAUUUAAAAAGAAGCAAUCUGAGUAUUAAAAUAUGUAAGCAGCAGAGUAAAAAACAAUAACAUUAUUGAACUAAGUAAUAUCUUCACUGUGUGUUAAGAGAAAAUAAAUAAAGCAAAGGAAGACUUCAGAGAAGGCCAGAAUGUGCUAAUGCUGUGUCAACUGCAAAGUGAAAGAGAACUGCAGAGCUCCACAAUUAUCAAUGCAGACAUGUAAAGUUUAGACAGCAUUAACAUGUUUAAAGAAUGAUCUUCUGAGGAAGGAAAAAAACAAUUUCCAUUAUGUUAUUAAGAAAGCUCCUGGUAUGCCAUAUUAAUAAACAUUAACAUGAUAACCCCCAUGGAUAUUGAUAAUUAAUUUGAUAAAUUUUGAUCAUAUGAAAAAUAUAUAUUCUUAACACAAAAUAUGUAUGUUCUAGCCCAUAUUUAAUACUGUGC
rnacentral:lncRNA from 1 species